GUCGAUAUGUCCGGGUGGUUAAGGAGACGGACUUGAAAUCUGAUGGGCACUGCCCGCGCAGAUUCGUACCCUGCUGUCGACG
rfam:Gossypium raimondii chromosome 5, whole genome shotgun sequence.